UAGAGAGCAGGCAGCAGCAUYGCAAACCAGCUGCGCUUCGCCAAACGCUGCAGUCUGUCAAAGCAGCAGAAAACAAACUGCUUCCUUGUGCUCUCUCCAUAGCGAUGAUUUCAUGGAAUGUGUGUUUCUUCAAUUUAGGUUUCUUCUUAGGGAAAGAACAACUCAUCAGCAGAUCAAAGCACAGAUGGAAUUGCUAAGAGCAGGAAAGAAUAUCCCGUGGAUUUCCAUGGGCAGGAGGAGAGAGCUUACGGCUGGAUCAAUGUCACUUACCUGAUUUGUUCCUUCCCUACGCUGAGAGAAGGCUGAAACGGCCAUACCUUCGUUGCAAUGGGUGCCCGUUGGCAGGAAUCCUCCAAAGAAGACAUGUGGGUCCCUAGAAAUGGCCAACACUUUUGGAGAUCUGGAUCUUUUGAGUUUGAUGCCAAAGAGUGCAGUUAUGAAGCCGAAGGAAGUUUCUAAGUCUCCAUUUAACUGGAGUUACAUUCCAGAACACAAGUGGGACACCCUUGCUACCCUAGAAACUACAAGGAAACUAUCUGGUUGUCUUCUUUACACACCACAACCUGUACAAGGCAGAAUGACCUACAGACACCUCUUGCUGACAGAAGAGUGACCCUAUGAGGCAAAGGAAAUGUGAAACGGUGCCGGGCUGUCUUUCUGCUAUGACUUGCUCUUCCUCAGCAUGACCAGCGAGCAGUCUCUGCUCACUGUCAGCAAGACCAUCCGGAAUUUCUGCACUAGGAGCUAGCAAGAUGUACGUUUCCCACAAUGGGUCACGGGAAGCUCUGGGAAGCUGCAAACGAGUAGUAAAUCUUCUGGGUAGAGUUGCCCUCACAGCCCUCUAAUACCUGCCCAGUCCACCAGCAAUUGUCUUUCUCGGCAUGAAGGGCCUUACAGAGCCAUCCUUCGUCAUGCAAGAGUCAGCAUUCAGCAGAACAUUGCGUCUGCAAGGCAAUUGCCUGCUGCCAGCUCAUUGCUAGGAGCUCAAAUAACUUCCCUUCCUUCCCACAUCCACCCCCAGCUGUCUUCURGCUACCCAGAGGAAAAACCUGAGCGACUACGCAGCUCUAUGCUCUACAGCAUUCAGGAAGCGAAGGCUGGACUCUUAUUGAACUGUGCCCAAAAUGAGCUUGGCACCACAGGGCAACUUCCUCGGAUCAGCCUGUUCACUGUAGAAAUCGCAAGCAGGGCCUGUUUCCCUUCUUUUAACACCAUUACAGAUGCUGAUGCCUGUUCCAAGUGUGGCCUUCAUCCCACACGCUGGAGCUGGGGCUCUGCAAAGGCAGCCUGGCUGUGGGAGAGUUCCUCAAGUGCUGGCUGUUAGUGCAGCUGCAGGCACUCACUGACACGCUGCUUGGUGCAGCACCCCAGGUCAGAAAGGUCCCUGCUAAGUCUUUCUGCCUGGAGGCAUGCCAGGCUCGGGGCUACCCAAGCUCGCUCUCCUUAGUGUGCAUCUCCAAAGCCAUCAGCAGCUCAUGGCCUGGAAGGUAAAAGUCAAGGGGAGUACCCACAAUCAGAAGGAUGGCCUGGGCUCUAUCUUUGCCAUCUUCUUUUUCUUAUGGGAUAAGGGGAUUUCUGUUCUUGUAGGUCUUCAUGAAGACCAGACUCUGAGCCACCAGCACAAGAUAUGUGCACCCUGGAUGCCAAGCUGAGAUUCCAGGAGGCUAAAAGAUCUGCUCUGGAGCUGGGCACACGUUUGGGGAGAUUUCCCAUCUGUGAUUGCUGUCCUGCAUUUGCUGUUGGUUUUGCUCAUGUACUAGCUGU